ACGUAGGGGGCGAGCGUUAUUCGGAAUUACUGGGUGUAAAGGGUAUGUAGGCGGCCCUUCAAGUCGCGCGUCAAAGUCCAGUGCUCAACGCUGGGUGUGCGUGCGUAACUGACGGACUUGAGGACUGGAGAGGUGAGCGGAAUUCCCGGUGUAGUGGUGAAAUGCGUAGAGAUGGGGAGGAACACCGGCGGCGCAGGCAGCUCACUGGAAUGAUUCUGACGCUAAGAUACGAAAGCGUGGGGAGCAAACAG
rnacentral:rRNA from 1 species